UACGUAUGGGGCAAGCGUUAUCCGGAUUUACUGGGUGUAAAGGGAGCGUAGGCGGUACGGCAAGUCAGAAGUGAAAGCCCGGGGCUCAACCCCGGAAUUGCUUUUGAAACUGUCGAACUAGAGUGUCGGAGGGGUAAGCGGAAUUCCUAGUGUAGCGGUGAAAUGCGUAGAUAUUAGGAGGAACACCGGUGGCGAAGGCGGCUUACUGGACGACCACUGACGCUGAGGCUCGAAAGCGUGGGGAGCAAACAGG
rnacentral:rRNA from 1 species